rnacentral:lncRNA from 1 species
CAUCUCCUCAUUGGUUUAUAGAAGCAGGUACCCACGUGCCAUCUCCUCAUUGGUUGUACCCACGUGGGUGAUUGAAAGACAAAAUGUUUUGCCGGUUGUUGUGGUAAAAGUGUAGAUGCCAAUCACCAUAUAAAUUCAAAGAUGAAAAAGCCUGGAAGCAGGAGAGAUGACUAGAAACGAUUCGGUUGGCCGUUUUAUGUGUGGAUUAAUUGUUGGAGUAGAGAACCUUCUGCAUUUCAGGACAAUGACCCAAAGCACAGCUCCAAGCUAUGCAAGAACUAUUUAGGGAAGAAUAAGUCAGCUGGUAUUCUGUCUAUAAUGGAGUGGCCAGCACAGUCACCGGAUCUCAACCCUAUUGAGCUGUUAUGGGAGCAGCUUGACCGUAAGAUUCUUCAAAGUAGCCACCCUUUGCCUUGAUGACAGCUUUGCAAACUCUUGGCAUUCUCUCAACCAGCUUCACCUGGAAUGCUUUUCCAACAGCCUUCAAGGAGUUCCUGUGACGUCUACACCUGCUCCCCCUCUCCGGGGCUCUACAUCGCCAGUUUAUUCAUUAUUACGCACACCUGCCACCAUCGAAACGUGCACCUGCGCCUCUUGAGAUUUUACUCGUGUUCUUGUUUUGUCCUAUGUUCCGCUAUUUAUUAAAUUCACUCCCUGUACUUGCUUCCCAAUUCUUAGCAUACAUGUAACAGUUCCCACAUAUCCUGGGCAUUUGUUGGCUGCUUUUCCUUCACUCUGCGGUCCAACUCAUCCCAAACCAUCUCAAUUGGGUUGAGGUCGAGUGAUUGUGGAGGCCACUCCAUCCCUCUUCUUCUUGGACAAAUAGCCCUUACACAGCCUGGAGGUGUGUUGUGUCAUUGUCCUGUUGAAAAAUAAAUGGUAGUCCCACUAAGUGCAAACCAGACGGGAUGGUGUAUCGCUGCAGAAUGCUGUAGUCAUGACUUUACUUUCAUUAAUCUGAUGACUGUUAUAUUUAAUCAACUAACUUUGUUUAAUUGUUACCUGAUUAAAUUAAUAAUGUAACAAUUAACUCAUUAGGAAUUUGGGGCACCACAAGAGCAGUUGUUUAAAGAGUUACCAUCUCCCGAA